GUCUUCCGCUGCGUGUUACGAACACCUAUACGCAAUCCUUCAGUGGUAUCAGAGCCGAAAACAUGCUAUCCAUGACAGCAGAAGAUAUAUUUGACACAACAUGUGCCAAGAAACAACUCCUGCCCAUUAAGCAUGUCCAACACAUGCUUUCAGACAAAAUCUUUCGCGUUCAAUUGAGAAAAUCAUCCUGGAAAGGUUACAGCAGCAUGCAUGCAAAUCUAUCCGUUUUGUCCUAUGUUGAAAAAGAGCACAUCUUUCAACCCAGUAUUGGUGAGAGGAACAAAAAGAAAGUCAAACCUCUUGGGUCAACUGUAAUAGAAAC